GUGAAAUAAAAGCAUCCAAUCAGAAAAAGAAAUUCGAAAACGCAAUUAGGAAGUGACUGACUAGAGGGAUGGGCGAAGUUGGAACGCAACAGCUUUCACAAAUGGAACGCAAACAGGAAAUGCAAAAGACACCAUAUUCUUCUGCAUAGGGGAUGAACUAUGCUUGCGAUGUGUUCCAUGUAGGAGUCAGUCCUUCUUUCGGUGUCCUGGUACACUCAGGCUUCUGUGGAGGUGAAAAGAGGGGACAAGCUGCAAUGAAUCGGGAAUCGUACCAAGCAGCAUAUGAACGGGACAUUAUCUGCUUUAAUUUAUUUAUGGGAAUGAGCUAAUGGCACCAUUUUCUUAACCGCCCAGUACUGUAAUAAAAAUUGCACACAGCAAGUA